rnacentral:rRNA from 1 species
AAACUUUCAACAACGGAUCUCUUGGCUCUGGCAUCGAUGAAGAACGCAGCGAAAUGCGAUACGUAAUGUGAAUUGCAGAACUCAGUGAAUCAUCGAAUCUUUGAACGCACAUUGCGCCCGCCAGCAUUCUGGCGGGCAUGCCUGUCCGAGCGUCAUUU